ACACGGUGUACCUCCGGCGGAAAGGUAUGUAAUGUCAUUAUAGAUAGAGGAAGCAGUGAAAAUAAGGUAGCCAAGGAGAUGGUCGAUAAGUUGAAGAACGAAAAGCAUCCCCAUCCUUAAAAGAUCUCCUGGUUUCAUAAAGGGAGGGAUAGAGAGAAGCUUUCAGUAAGUAGGGGUGGUGAAGGCAUCUGCUCUUCUAUAGUUAUAGCUACGCCCUUCAUUCUUGUUUCAAGAGGGCAUUUCCCAGCCAUUGUGGACAAAGGAUAGUCUUCUAUCAUUGUUAAGGAAGGAGUAUGUUAUAGGUCGUUGGGCGGCCGGAAUCAAGCCUUUGGGAAAAGAGGGAUCAAGAAUCAAAGUUCGUUCGGAGGAGAAGAGAAGGAGAUUCUUAAUCAUAGCACAGGGUCCCGGGACCUAGCGGAUGGUCUUGUUCCUCUUCCUAUGACUAAUACGCCGAUGUAGACUAUAUCCAUAGCCUUUCAUAUUAGGGUUGUGUUCUUAACGAAUUUUUGUGUGAAACUCGUUUAGGCGAAUCGAUCAAUAGAAGGGACACCUACCUUUGAUUUUUUAAGUGUUGAUUGUAUGCCUGGAAAAGCUAAAUAGAAAGAGUGACUUCCGGCGGUCUGACGAUUAAUUGCAUUUGGUUCAAUUUCUCUUGCUUGAGAGGGCAAGGGCAGGAAAUAUAGUAUGAAGUUAGGGGCUUGCUUAAUGGCUUUCCUUCCGCUAGAUGAUCACUACUGACAGUGAGAUCAGAAAGGCAAGGAGCUUUCUUUCGAUAGUGCUAAUAUAGAAAUAGAAAGAUGUGAAAUUCAUUCCUCAAUCUUUUGCCGUAUAGCGUACUUUAUCGAAAAGAUUGAGCAUUCUUUCAUUUAGAGAUGUCACAUCAGAACUACUGCUUGAGCUGUAAUGAAAUUGACUCUUACAUCCAAGCUAUCUUUCCCAAGUAACCAAAUUCUACCAAGGUGAGAGGAAUUAUAAUUGUGCAAGAAGGACCAGUUUGGAAAAACUAAAGGAANNN
rnacentral:lncRNA from 1 species